UACAGCUACUACAUACAUAGCUAGCACACCUCCAGGGUAUCGCUAAAGCUAUCGACCCGACCUUGAGCUCAGACCGCCGCGCCGCCUGCGCCUUCCGCUCCUUGGUUGCCGCCGCCGGCACCGCCCUGCGGGUGCCGCCAAGCCCGAAUCCCGUUCAUCAUGAUGUGGCCGACGAGGGUUAGGAUGCCCCCAAUGACCGCGAGACCAGGGAUGGUCAUCACGCCGCAAACAAA
rnacentral:lncRNA from 1 species